rnacentral:rRNA from 1 species
AGCGAACGCUGGCGGCGUGGUUGAGACAUGCAAGUCGAACGAGUCUGGUCCGGUCGUAAGACUGGGCCUGUACGAGUGGCGAAAGGGAGAGUACAAAACAGGUAACGUACCCCGGACACCGGGAUAGCCCGUCGAAAGGCGGAUUAAUACCGGGUGACGUUCCGAGCCGCAUGGCUCGGAAUCAUAGGGUGGGGCCCUUCGGGGCCUGUCGGUCUGGGAGCGGCCUGUUUCCUAUCAGCUUGUUGGUGAGGUAAUGGCUCACCAAGGCAAUGACGGGUAGCCGGCCUUAGCGGGUGUUCGGCCUCACUGGGACUGAGACACUGCCCAGAGCCCUACGGGGUGCAGCAGUCUCGAAUCAUCCGCAAUGCGCGAAAGCGUGACGGUGCGACGCCGCGUGCGGGAUGAAGCCCUUCGGGGUGUAAACCGCUUUUCAGAGGUAUGAAGUGUCCUCGCUGAAUAGGCGGGCGGCA